AUUGAACGCUGGCGGCAGGCCUAACACAUGCAAGUCGAGCGAGCGGCGGACGGGCGAGCAAUGUCUGGGAAACUGCCUGAUGGAGGGGGAUAACUACUGGAAACGGUAGCUAAUACCGCAUACCCUCAGAUGUGCCCAGAGGGGAUUAGCUAGUAGGUGGGGUAACGGCGCCCCUAGGCGACGAUCCCUAGCUGGGCUGAGAGGGUGACCAGCGACACUGGGCCAGGAAGACGGUCCAGAAUCCUACGGGAGGCAGAAGUGGGGAGUAUGGCACAAUAGGAGCAAGCCGGAUGCAGCCAUGCAGCGGGUGUGACGAAGGCCUUCGGGUUGUAAGGCACUUUCAGCGGGGAGGCGUUACCCGGAGGAGAAGCACCGGGUAACUCCGUGCCAGCCGCCGCGGUAAUAC
rnacentral:rRNA from 1 species